CAACUAUUGCUAUCUUACCUCUCCGAGGUUCCAUAACAUCUAGUUCGAUGUUCCCAUCUCUGCUUCUGAUCACUGAAAUGUGAUCAGUCGCAAUACCCCCACUAGUGCCCCCACUAUUUCUCAAUUUAAAGAGAAAUUCAUUUUCAUAGAAAUCAACAUAAUUUGAUUCUAUGAUCAUUUUAGCGUUUAGGUCAUAAAACCUAUAAGCUUUACGGUUAAUUAUAUACUCAAUGAGUAUAUUUUCAUAGGCUCUACUAGUGAGUUUAACUCUCUUGGUUUAUGGAAUUUGAACAUAGG
rnacentral:lncRNA from 1 species